AUUGAACGCUGGCGGCAUGCCUUACACAUGCAAGUCGAACGGUAACGGGCCUUCGGGUGCCGACGAGUGGCGAACGGGUGAGUAAUGUAUCGGAACGUACCUUUCAGUGGGGGAUAACGUAGCGAAAGUUACGCUAAUACCGCAUAUUCUGUGAGCAGGAAAGCAGGGGAUCGCAAGACCUUGUGCUGAUUGAGCGGCCGAUAUCAGAUUAGCUAGUUGGUGAGGUAAAGGCUCACCAAGGCGACGAUCUGUAGCGGGUCUGAGAGGAUGAUCCGCCACACUGGAACUGAGACACGGUCCAGACUCCUACGGGAGGCAGCAGUGGGAAAUUUUGGACAAUGGGGGCAACCCUGAUCCAGCCAUGCCGCGUGAGUGAAGAAGGCCUUCGGGUUGUAAAGCUCUUUCGGCCGGGAAGAAAUCGUAUCAGCUAAUACCUGGUGCGGAUGACGGUACCGGCAUAAGAAGCACCGGCUAACUACGUGCCAGCCGCCGCAGUAACAC
rnacentral:rRNA from 1 species